GACGAACGCUGGCGGCGUGCUUAACACAUGCAAGUCGAACGGAAAGGCCCUGCUUUUGUGGGGUGCUCGAGUGGCGAACGGGUGAGUAACACGUGAGUAACCUGCCCUUGACUUUGGGAUAACUUCAGGAAACUGGGGCUCAUACCGGAUAGGAGCUCCUGCUGCAUGGUGGGGGUUGGAAAGUUUCGGCGGUUGGGGAUGGACUCGCGGCUUAUCAGCUUGUUGGUGGGGUAGUGGCUUACCAAGGCUUUGACGGGUAGCCGGCCUGAGAGGGUGACCGGCCACAUUGGGACUGAGAUACGGCCCAGACUCCUACGGGAGGCAGCAGUGGGGAAUAUUGCACAAUGGGCGGAAGCCUGAUGCAGCAACGCCGCGUGCGGGAUGACGGCCGUCGGGUGGUAAACCGCUUUCGCCUGUGACGAAGCGUGAGUGACGGUAAUGGGUAAAGAAGCACCGGCUAACUACGUG
rnacentral:rRNA from 1 species